GCUCUGUAACUAAAUCUGGAUGCGUCUGGCCACCUGGAGUUUGCAUGGAGACCCUGGGCUGUGCACACCGCAGGACUCUCACCUGGAACACUCGGAGACCCCAGGAUUCAAGCACUCUGCAGCUGGCCGCACAAUCUAACAGAGACCCAUUAAAAUGGUUGUCCACAACAGAAUUCACACACAUUCUUUACAAGGGAAGGGAUGCGAACACAUUCCCAAAAGAAAAACAGCCACAAGGUUUUACAAGCUAGGAAAGGAAAAGCUGCAUGGAUCAAAUGCUAGGGUUCGUGAAAUUCCUCUGAGGAGAGAAACAACACAAAGCCCUUCUUGUGUGUUCUCGUUAAUACGUCCUUAAUGUGAACUGACAGUAUCUUGCCUCAAACACCUUUUAAGCAACAAGACAUGACAAGACAUAUGCUGGCAGGAGAUAAGGCUCACCCCUGAAACACACGCAGGUGAAAAAGUUCCCCCCCGAAACACACGCAUGCAAGUGAAAAGGUUCCCCCUGAAACACACACAUGCAGGUGAAAAGGUUCCCCCCGAAACACACGCAUGCAAGUGAAAAGGUUCCCCCUGAAACACACACACACACAGGUGAAAAGGCUCCCCCCUGAAACACACACAUGCAGGUGAAAAGGCUCCCCCUGAAACACACACAUGCAGGUGAAAAGGUUCCCCCCGAAACACACGCAUGCAAGUGAAAAGGUUCCCCCUGAAACACACAUGCAGGUGAAAAGGCUCCCCCCUGAAACACACACAUGCAGGUGAAAAGGUUCCCCCUGAAACACACCCACACAGGUGAAAAGGUUCCCCCCAAAACACACGCAUGCAAGUGAAAAGGUUCCCCCGAAACACACACACGCAGGUGAAAAGGCUCCCCCCUGAAACACACACAUGCAGGUGAAAAGGUUCCCCCAUGAAACACAUGCAUGCAAGUGAAAAGAUUCCCCCCAAAACACACGCAUGCAAGUGAAAAGGUUCCCCCUGAAACACACACACACAGGUGAAAAGGCUCCCCCCAACCAGUCACAAAACACACACAUGCAGGUGAAAAAGUUCCCCCGUCAAACACACACAGGUGAAAAGGCUCCCCCCUGAAACACAAAUGCAGAUGAAAAGGUUCCCCCCGAAACACACACAGGUGAAAAGGCUCCCCCCGAAACACACACGCAGGUGAAAAUGCUCCCCACAAAACACACGCAGGUGAAAAUGCUCCCCACAAAACACAGGUGAAAAUGCUCCCCACAAAACACACGCAGGUGAAAAGGCUCCCCCCAAAACACAUGUAGGUGAAAAGUCUCCCCCCGAAACACACAGGUAAAAAGGCUCCCCCCGAAACACACAUGCAGGUGAAAAGUUUCCCCGCGAAACACACACAUGCAGGUGAACAGGCUCCCCUCUGAAACACACACAGAUGAAAAGGCUCCCCCUACCUCACGAAACACACACACAUGCAAGUGAAAAAGUUCCCCCGUGAAACACACACAGGUGAAAAGGCUCCCCCCGAAACACACACAUGCAGGUGAAAAGGUUCCCCCCUGAAACACGCAGAUGAAAGGGCUCCCCCCGAAACACACGUAGAUGAAAAGAUUCCCCCCGAAACACACGCAGAUGAAAAGGCUUCCCCCACAAAAACACACGCACAGGUAAAAACACUCCCCACAAAACACACGCAGGUGAAAAGGCUCCCCCCAAAACACAUGCAGGUGAAAAGGCUUCCCCCGAAACACACAUGGGUGAAAAGGCUCCCCCAAAACACACACACUACAGGCGAAAAGGCUUCCCCGUGAAACACACACACACAGGUGAAAAGGCUCCCCCUGAAAAACAGGCAGGUGAAGUCACAACCUCCUCUACUCGGAAGGGCUUUAUCUUGGAGUCACACCAGGUUCCAGAACCUUCAUCAAUUAUACAUCCAUCUCUCAAAAAAAAAAAAAAAGGGUGAGAUCUCUUUGCACAUGGAGGCAUGGGAAGAACCCACUGUUUUAUGCCUUUUUCAUUUGCCCCGUGGAAUCUACAACUAAUCCACCAGUAAUUCUUCAACAGUUCAAGCACAGGACACAGAAUUCCCAAGAGAAUGGCGACUGGCCACUAAUUUUUUCACACAUAUUAACUUAGCAUUUUUAAAUCAAAACUAAAUAAGGCUAGCUCAUGCAUAGACAAAAUCAAUUUAGAGCCAGAGGAAAUGUGUCCACCAAAGGAACCACGUCACAAUGAGGGCUGAUAUCCUCACACGCUGUGUGCGAUCCUGACCACUGAUUCCCCAUCUCUUGUGAAAAUCACAGGCCACAGACCACAUGCCGCUGAGACAGCUAAACAUUUCUCCACAUCUGGGAAGCCCACAUCUCAGGAGGACCGAAGGAAUUCUUGGGGCUGUUCUGAUUUUGAAUUCAGGAGGUAUGCUCAUGCAGAUGACCUGACGCCUCUUGGUCGGAGCUGCGUCUUUUGUCAACACCUGAACUCUUACCAGAGCUUGUCCUGCAUUUUCCAGGGUCCCACAAAGCAAAUGAAAUGUGAUUAGACCCACCCACGCGGCACUCAAGUCACUGACAACUCACGAUGGGUCGACAUCCAGGAAAGAGACAUCAGCAAAGCCUCAACACAGAAAUUCACCUGCAAAAAUACCCGAGCCCAAUCAAGCUUCCAGGUCUGACAGCUGACAUUCACGCCAAGCAGGCAAACCCCCCCCCCCGGCGCUGGGCACAGGGAAUUUCAGACAUCAAAUUAACAUAAAACUGCCUUCACGUUGCAUAGCAAACUUGAGUACAUUCCUUCAUCCUAAUUCAAGAAACUUUUAGAGAACCAUAGAAAAUGCCAGCAGUCACUUUUUGAAUUCAAAUGAAACAGAAAGGUUAUUUGUUUUCUUUUAAAUCUCUAUUUCCACAAGCAUUGUUCUGACCCUCAAUAGAGCUAAUCCACGUGUUUAAAGUAUUAACAAAUGUAAACUGCAGAAAGAAAGCAAACUCCACUGAAGGAUCUCCCCUCCUCUCCCUCAGCGAAUUAUUCUUCUAGCCUUUGCUGAUGUGAGGUAGCCAACAUCUACCAUCUAGUAAUAAACAAAAGGAGUUGUGCUCAACAGGCUUUAAUCAGCAACAAGAACAGACAUUUCCACCAUGCAUUAAAACAACAUAACCUACCAGAAAAGACACUCACCAGCUCAAAUACAGCAUGUCCGGUUAUCUAAAAUACAGAUUUUCAGAUAAAUAACAAAUAAAUCUUUAGUGUAAGUAUAUCCCAAAUAUUGCAUGGGACAUAUGUAAACCUUUUUUAAAAAGUAUUUAUUGUUUAUCUAAAAUCCAAAGUUAACCAGGAGUAAUGUAUUUUUAUGUACUAAAUUUGGCAUCCCUAACUUCUAAAACAAACACAUUAUUUGAAAGAAUUACUUAAAGGAAGCCUCAAGAGUCCAAAAAAAAAAAAAAAGUGUAAAGGCUGAUGUCAACACAUACACAUGGAUAAAGAGGAACAUUAUUUCUCAUCUAUGUGCAGCAUCAUUAGUUCACUGGGAGGAGUGGAAAUUAUGCACAGGAAAUGGAGAAAAAGCUAGGGGGCGCCGACAUCAUCUCCCAAAAACCCAACCCUCAGAGCCUCAGCGGCCCGUCAGUACUGGACAGGGCCUCUGGAUGGACAACACUGACCCCUAGCGUCUCCUUCCAGGCAAGCAAGGAUCCUGGAACCGAGGCACGGUCCUUUCCUUUCUGUCUGGACAGGCUACAGAGACAUCCCACCUGUAAGUCCCAGCCCAAGGGUCCUGCUAUCUGGGCCCUGAGUAGGGACUGCAAAGGUGAGGAUCGGGGUGGAGACAAGAGAGAACAGGCACAAUGCCAGGAAAACAGGGCAAGUUCCUAGCCUUCAUUUCUCCAUCUUCCUGCCCUUCUUCCCUUCACACCCUGGUGGCAUGUCAUAAUAUAUUAUUAUAUAUUAUUGGUUUCAACACUUAUGACUGGAACCAUCUUGAGAAAGUUUACUUAACCCUCUAAACUUCAGAUUUCCUAUCUGUGUUUUGAGACAAGUGGCACCUUCACCUCAUGAGGCUAUGCUGGAGGUUUAUAUGAAAUACAGAUAAAGCACACAGACAUUGAGUCUAUGACAAGGUUACUACAUUAAAUCAGUGGAAAAACAUAACAUAACCUACCAGAAAACAUUCACUCAACUGAUUGUUGAAUAUAUUAGGUUGGAAAAACCAGAUCAAUGUGGGAAAAUGUUUAAAGUACCUCACAGAAUAUAUACGAGGUUUUACACGGGUUAACACAAUGUGGAAUAAAGCAAAUGUAAUGAAGCAAACUAGAUUGAUUAAAACAAUGAGGAUAGUUUAAUGGUAGGGUAGAGAACGUCUAAAGUAUAUGUAAAAUCCAAAAACCCUAAAGACAAUUCUGAUGUUUUAGAACUUCUACAAUAAAAGACUUCAGAAAGUAAAAGACAAAUGAUAAACCAACAGAACGUAUUCAAAACAUGAGAAUCAAAUCCACAAUAUAUAAAGAGUUUCUAUAAAUUAACAAGAAAAAGACAACACAUUUUUUAAAUGUGCAAAAUGCAUGGACAAUAUACAUCAGGCAAGAAAUACAAAGGCCAGUAAACAUGAAAACAUGCUUAUGCUCACAAAAAAAGAAAAAAAGAAAAUGGAAAUUAAAGCAAUAAAAAUAUACCAUUUUUUUUCUUUCAGACAGGCAAUUUUAGAAAAUUUAUAAUACUAAGAACUAUUGAGGGUGUGGAGAAACAUACACACACAACUCAUAAGCUUUUGGUGGACAUGAGGAUUAUUACACCCAAACAGGCAGCAUCUAUCAAAAUAUAAAAUGCGCAAACUCCUGAAACUACCAAUUUCACUUAAAGAAAUCCAUCAUGGUCCAGGCGCAGUGGCUCAUGCCUGCAAUCCCAGCACUUUGGGAGGCCAAGGUGGGUGGAUCACCUGA